rnacentral:rRNA from 1 species
GCUUGACUGUAGCUUGUAAUUGGGUUCGGGCUUUUUUUGCGCAGCCUAGGUGGGAGGCAAUGAUGAUUUUUUUCCGGAAAAAUUUGAGCCGUUCGUGAGAGACCACUCUGAAAAGGCUAGAAUCCUAAUAAUGAUCCUUGAAUCAGGACAUUUGACAGUUGCAGGUGGGCAGUUUUACUGGGGCGGUAUUCUCCUAAAAAGUAACGGAGGGGUGCAAAGGUUCCCUCAAGCUGGACGGAAAUCAGCUUAAGAGUGUAAAGGCAAAAGGGAGCUUGACUGCAAGACCUACAAGUCGAGCAGGGCGAAAGCCGGCCUUAGUGAUCCGACGGUACCACGUGGAAGGGCCGUCGCUCAACGGAUAAAAGUUA